rnacentral:rRNA from 1 species
GACGAACGCUGGCGGCGUGCUUAACACAUGCAAGUCGAACGGAAAGGCCCUGCUUUUGUGGGGUGCUCGAGUGGCGAACGGGUGAGUAACACGUGAGUAACCUGCCCUUGACUUUGGGAUAACUUCAGGAAACUGGGGCUAAUACCGGAUAGGAGCUCCUGCUGCAUGGUGGGGGUUGGAAAGUUUCGGCGGUUGGGGAUGGACUCGCGGCUUAUCAGCUUGUUGGUGGGGUAGUGGCUUACCAAGGCUUUGACGGGUAGCCGGCCUGAGAGGGUGACCGGCCACAUUGGGACUGAGAUACGGCCCAGACUCCUACGGGAGGCAGCAGUGGGGAAUAUUGCACAAUGGGCGGAAGCCUGAUGCAGCAACGCCGCGUGCGGGAUGACGGCCUUCGGGUUGUAAACCGCUUUCGCCUGUGACGAAGCGUGAGUGACGGUAAUGGGUAAAGAAGCACCGGCUAACUACGUGCCAGCAGCCGCGGUGAUACGUAGGGUGCGAGCGUUGUCCGGAUUUAUUGGGCGUAAAGGGCUCGUAGGUGGUUGAUCGCGUCGGAAGUGUAAUCUUGGGGCUUAACCCUGAGCGUGCUUUCGAUACGGGUUGACUUGAGGAAGGUAGGGGAGAAUGGAAUUCCUGGUGGAGCGGUGGAAUGCGCAGAUAUCAGGAGGAACACCAGUGGCGAAGGCGGUUCUCUGGGCCUUUCCUGACGCUGAGGAGCGAAAGCGUGGGGAGCGAACAGGCUUAGAUACCCUGGUAGUCCACGCUGUAAACGGUGGGUACUAGGUGUGGGGUCCAUUCCACGGGUUCCGUGCCGUAGCUAACGCUUUAAGUACCCCGCCUGGGGAGUACGGCCGCAAGGCUGAAACUCAAAGGAAUUGACGGGGCCCCGCACAGGCGGCGGAGCAUGCGGAUUAAUUCGAUGCAACGCGUAGAACCUUACCUGGGUUUGACAUGGAUCGGGAGUGCUCAGAGAUGGGUGUGCCUCUUUUGGGGUCGGUUCACAGGUGGUGCAUGGCUGUCGUCAGCUCGUGUCGUGAGAUGUUGGGUUAAGUCCCGCAACGAGCGCAACCCUUGUUCACUGUUGCCAGCACGUUAUGGUGGGGACUCAGUGGAGACCGCCGGGGUCAACUCGGAGGAAGGUGGGGGUGACGUCAAGUCAUCAUGCCCCUUAUGUCCAGGGCUUCACGCAUGCUACAAUGGCUGGUACAGAGAGUGGCGAGCCUGUGAGGGUGAGCGAAUCUCGGAAAGCCGGUCUCAGUUCGGAUUGGGGUCUGCAACUCGACCUCAUGAAGUCGGAGUCGCUAGUAAUCGCAGAUCAGCAACGCUGCGGUGAAUACGUUCCCGGG